rnacentral:rRNA from 1 species
AUUGAACGCUGGCGGCAUGCUUUACACAUGCAAGUCGAACGGCAGCACGGGCUUCGGCCUGGUGGCGAGUGGCGAACGGGUGAGUAAUGCAUCGGAACGUGCCGUGUAGUGGGGGAUAACGUAGCGAAAGUUACGCUAAUACCGCAUACGCCCUGAGGGGGAAAGGGGGGGCCCGCAAGGCCUCACGCUAGACGAGCGGCCGAUGUCGGAUUAGCUAGUUGGUAGGGUAAAGGCCUACCAAGGCGACGAUCCGUAGCGGGUCUGAGAGGAUGAUCGGCCACACUGAGACUGAGACACGGCCCAGACUCCUACGGGAGGCAGCAGUGGGGAAUUUUGGACAAUGGGCGCAAGCCUGAUCCAGCCAUGCCGCGUGAGUGAAGAAGGCCUUCGGGUUGUAAAGCCCUUUCAGACGGAAAGAAAUCGGUGAGGUUAAUACCUUCACUGGAUGACGGUACCGUAAGAAGAAGCACCGGCUAACUACGUGCCAGCAGCCGCCGUAAUAC